UGGUGGUAAUAAAGAGCUGACAGCCAAUAGCUGAGCAGGAAGUAGAGGGUGGAACUUUCAGACAGGGCGGAGGAGGGGGAGCUGGGAGAAGGAGGAGCAGAGGGAGCUACAGAGAGCAGGCAGAGGAACAACCAUGGACUGGAGCAGAGCAGAGAAAGGGACAGAUAGAGCCAGCCACACAGCAGGCCGUAGGCUCUAAGGAUGCUUAAGUUAGAGUAGCUGGAGACUGCCCAAGCAGAAGGCCUAAGCUUUCAACUCAACUAGAAGCGCCUGCUUACCUCUAUCCCUGGCAGGUCAGAGAAAGCCCGUUAUAGACUUCCUGUUUGUCCAGAUGACUAUACAAUUAAUGCCUCAGGACUCACCUUCUUCUGGUCUGUGCCUGAACAAAAUCUACCUCUUCUUAAAGGAUGGUUUGUGUAGGCCCAAUCUAAACAGACUGCAGGAAGACUCAGGGAGAACCGCCCAAGUGGACCACGCCAUGGUCACCAACAAGCAACAGAAGCCACCCCAAAGCUAGCAGGAUAAGCACAAACCCUCAGGACAACUGACCUGGACUCUUAGAGCCAUUCAAAGGAGAAAAGCCUGGAAAGGAGAUGCAGGGAGUGGACUUGGUUAACUAUGAGGUGGACUAGUUUUGAAAAAUCAAAACUCAGCAAGAAGAGAUUAGUUCUGAGGUACAAAGAGAUGGCGAUAGAAGGAUAAAGAGAGAGAAGAGAAGAGUGAGCAGCCCAGCCUGGUCUACACAGAAAGUUCCAUGCUAGCCAGGAUUACAGUGAGACCCUGUCCAAAACAAAAAAUUAAAUUAGGGGGUGAGGGAUGAAGAGAUGGCUCAGAGAACUGGAGUUCUAUUGUGAGGCACCCAUGUCAGAUGUCACGUAUGUCAGAUGCCUCACAAGCACCGCAACACCAACUGCGGGAAUCUCAUGCCUCUGGCCUCCAGGAACACAGAUGCACACACAAUUAAAAAUAAUAAAAAUAUGCAAAUCAAGAGAACAAGAGGGUAUACCACAACAUGUGCCAGCAGAAAUAGAAGAAGGGUGGGUUCAUCAAAGACUCAGAGGUAUAUAUAUAUAUAUGAUAUGUAAUUACAUGUAGUAUGUGUCUGCAUGCAUAUAGUGUGUGUAUAGCAUGUAUGUGUAUGUAUGCUAUGUUUAUGCACAGGCACAUGUAUUCUGAACCAAUGAGAGAGCAAGUGCAAGUUCCUGAGUUGCUUAGAUGUAAAGACUAUAUUUAUUUACAGGACACAGAACAAACCAUCUUAAUAUACACUGAUGCUGAUGUAUCAUGUAGCAGUAGUUCUUUCUUCCAUGCACUGGCAACACCAUCAGUCACCUGCACUUUUGAUAACUCGGAAAACUAUUAAAACAUCCUUUAGCAUCCUCUAAGAUGCAAGAGGACGGACAUAACACUCUUGCUUUACUCUCUGCCUCAGUAGGGUCCUCUCUCUGCACAGCCCCUCUGUACACUGGUGUCCUCCAUGAACGUGCACAUUAGAAUCCUGUGCACCUGACACCUGAGCACAGUCCAGGUUGGCUCCUGGGAAGAUCCAGGUGCAGACAGCUGCUUUGCUGGUGAUCAUCAGGGGUCUGACUUACUCCCCCAACCAGCAAGGUAAUAUCUCGGUCUUCCAUUAUGCUAUGAUUCAUAAUUACAUGUGUGAAGUGGAAACUUGAAGACUAAGCUUCCGCAUUGCCUCUUGCUGAAGAUAAAAGUCCACGACAGAGCAGCGAGCACUUCCUGGGACUUCCUUGCUGGCUCUCCUCUCCACCACCUGUUUGUUCUGCCAAGACUCUGAUGCGGUGAAUACGAAAACUAACAUUUUCAAGGAAUUUUUCUAUCACCCUUAAAUGGAAAAGUCUUAAAAAACCAAAAAACUAACACAACUUAAGAAAGCAACUAAGAAAACCAAGGCUCAGAAGGAAAUUAUAAAAAAUACAUUCUUGGGGCUGGAGACAUGGCUCAGCGGUUAAGAACACUGACUGCUCUUCCACAGGUCUUGAGUUCAAAUCCCAGCAACCACAUGGUGGCUUACAACCAUCCAUAAUGAGAUCUGAUGUCUUCUUCUGGGGUCUCUGAAGACAGCUACAGUGUACUUACAUAUAAUAAUAAAUAAAUAAAUCUUUUUUUAAAAAA
rnacentral:lncRNA from 1 species